rnacentral:rRNA from 1 species
GACGAACGCUGGCGGCGUGCUUAACACAUGCAAGUGGAGCGACGAACCAGGGCUUGCCCUGGGGCAGAGCCGCGAACGGGUGAGUAACACGUGGGUAACGUGCCCCGAUGACUGGGACAACCCGGGGAAACCCGGGCUAAUACCGGAUAUGCCCCCUGACAUCUGUCAGGUGUGUAAAGGAAGCUUCGGCCUCCGCAUCGGGAUCGGCCCGCGGCGCAUUAGCUUGUUGGUGGGGUAACGGCCUACCAAGGCAACGAUGCGUAGCUUGUCUGGGACGACGAUCAGCCACACUGGGACUGAGACACGGCCCAGACUCCUACGGGAGGCAGCAGUGGGGAAUCUUGCACAAUGCGCGAAAGCGUGAUGCAGCAACGCCGCGUGCGGGAAGACGGCCUUCGGGUUGUAAACCGCUUUCAGUUGGGACGAAGGUCGGCGCGUUAAUAGCGGGUCCGACUGACGGUACCUUCACAAGAAGCUCCGGCUAACUACGUGCCAGCCGCCGCAGUAAAAC